CCUGUCGUAGCCAUCUGGCCCUGGGAAGGGGGCUUCAGUGUUUGCUCCGAGUUUGUGAGGCGCAAAUUAUUCCCAGGGCUUCCUUACUCCGUUAUUGAAUUUCUGCCACUCACUCAGUGUCAAAUUGGUUGACAGAAGAGCCCGCCAAUCUCGUUUUCUUCAAGAUCUGCCCAAUUGACUGACGUAGAAAUUUUUCAAGAUAACGUUUCCUUCCUGAGGAGGCAUCCGGUUGUGAGCUCCAGUGGCGGUGACUGCUUUGAAUUUGGCUUCUUCGGACGGCAGCCGGGUGAAUAAGUUUCCACAAUGGGAAAGUCCCUGAGAAAUAAGAUUUAAGGAACAGGAAAAGGCACCUAUGUCCGCAAUUACCUUACCUGAAAUUGCCAAUUUAAGGUAAUGAAGUAGAUUCCGAAAAGAAACGAAAGGAAGAGACAGAGGGAGAAAAAUCUGGAAAAGAGGGAAGUUAAGCCUACAGCUGCAGCAAAAACCCUCCAGAGAACCAUGUUUACAGCUGUAGUCAUUCCGGAUCUUAACAGUAAGAAUCAGCGAUCCUGUUCAGUGAGUAACAGUUCAUAUGGUGCUCAUAACAUGAACAGGCUCUGAAGCUGGUGGCCAAGAGGAGUUCAGAGGAAUAGUGAUUAUGGAGUGUAAAGUAACAUCGGCAAACAUAGCUGACGCCUGGGAAGACUUCUGCUCCUCAAUCAGUUGCAGGAAGGAUAGGAAGAGAAGUGAAAUAUGACAUAAAAAGAAGUUUCAGGAAGAUACCAGCACGGGCUCCAGGAACAGGCUGUCUCAGUAACUCCUGCCCCUUCAGAAGCACACAGACUGCCACCACGUGCGAGGAAACCUGAAGGAUGAGUCUGCCAUGGCAGCUGGCAGAUGAGCCAGUGGGAUAAAAUGAGCAUUACAGAAUAGAGAGCAGUCAGAUAGAAGAGGACCUGGGCAGAGGAGCCACCAAAGCAUAGAAUCUGUAGGAAAGUGAGGAAGAAACUGGAGAGCUCCGAACUCGUUCUCACAGAUGUACAACAAAGGAAACACCCAUCAGCCAAGCUGGAGAGAAAUCACGCUCUACAGGGUACAGAGCGAACCCUCGAAGCAGAGGCCGAGAGAGCCGUGGUCGGAGGUGAAAGGUCACGCUGCUAUUUGGCGGCCAUUUCUCUUGAAGCUCCGCGGCUGGCGACCUACGGCAGCUGCUCCAGUUAGGAGGGUCGAACGACAGCUGAGUCGGCGGCGAAUAGCCUGCAGCAUUUGCCCACUACUGCAUCAGUAUCGCGAUGAGUUUGCCCCUCAACCCCAAACCUUUCCUCAACGGAUUAACAGGAAAGCCAGUAAUGGUGAAACUUAAGUGGGGAAUGGAGUACAAAGGCUACCUGGUAUCUGUAGAUGGCUAUAUGAACAUGCAGCUUGCAAACACAGAAGAAUACAUAGAUGGAGCAUUGUCUGGACACCUGGGUGAAGUUUUAAUAAGGUAACAAAACAGUAAUAGUAUAUAUAAGGAGUUACUGGUGAGCAUUAGAAAUACUUGUUUAAAUAAAUUAAUUAGUGCCCCAAUCUCAGAAUUACUUUUAAAAAAAAUCACUAUUAAUUUAAUAUAAUAUUCUACUACUAGACUUUAAGAGUCUUGAAAUCAUUAAACUUGACAAAGCAGAUUUAAGUAUUUUGGAGCUAUUCAUUAAGAUUUUUUUUCUAGUGUUGAAAUUAAACUUCCUAGCUCUUAACUGUACCUUUUUCAGUGGUUUUAGACACAAGAGCUUGGUUUUUAAAUUUUAGGUGGGUCUGGCUGCUGUUAGGGAUUUUUGUAUUAUAUUUAUUUUCUACAACUAGCUUCACACCUCCAAAUUCUAGUCAUUAUUCCCUUUGGAAGAUUAUACAGAUAUCAUUGUAUAACAACCACAUGGUAGAAAAAUGAGUACCAUGUGCUUUUU